rnacentral:lncRNA from 1 species
GCAAUUUGCAGGCCAAAAAGACCUGAGACUCCCUGGGGUGAAGGGAAAUGCCACAGACAUCCAUGGUCUUGGAUGCUCAACAGAAGUGCUUGCCUUGGUGAUCCAAAAAAGGCAGGAUCCGGCCGGGGGCAAGGUGAUUAUUCUGUCUGAUGAGGAGAAUAAGAGCCAGUUUGUGGUAUUGACAGAAGAAUGAAAGUAAAGUCUUGAAAGAUGGGAAGAUCAGGAGCAGUCUGGAGUCAUGGUAUAUGAAUGAACUAGUGAGAGUGGGCACAAAGUCUGAAGAUCUUUGUAGUGCAGCUAAUGUCUAAGGGAGAAUAUACCUACCCUAGAAGAGACAUUAAACAACCAGGAAGCUUACUGCAGGAAAGAAAUCCCUCAGAGUCCUGAAGAUACAGCUUUCAGAACUUAGGUGAAGCAAGAGGACUCAAGGUGUGCAAGAAUGGACAGUACAGAAUGCUCUGCUACACUGCUCAGAUUCCCCCUUCAGGAAGGAAGGACAAAUUCACUCAACUUCUGGGAGCAUUGAUGGUUGAGCUCUCAGCCAUCAGACCUUUUUGGAAGUUGCCCUCUUCUGAAAAGAGGCACAUUGCCCAAGAUCUUUCCUCCUCCAGAGCGCAGGCUGCACCUGAAGUCUGAUUGAUGUGGGGUAUGAUGGUCUGGUCUCCUUUCCCCAUCUAAAGGACUGUUCUAACCUCAGGGCUCUCCUUGAGUUUCCUUAGUUAGUUCUUAUUACUAUGUUGCAGUCCAACUUCUUCUUUGGCCUAAUUCUACUUUCCUCCCAUUCCCCAAUUGUUGAUCCUGACAGCAAUUUCCCCCCAAAUUUCUGUAAACUAAGCAUGAUCUCAGAGUCACCUGACCUGCAACAUUAUUACAUACACUAUAGUCCGUGCACUUAAAGAUUUAGUGAAAGUAUGCUGCUGAAGCUUGCCAGAACUUCCCUUCUUCCACUGAAAAUUUGUCUGUUCAUAGAUAUACACCAUUCGUUCUCUUCUCUACUUUGGCCAAUUAUCUUAUGUUUGGGAAGGUGUUCUGCUAGAAGACAAAAUAGCAAUUCUUAGAACUAGAAAGAAAAACACAUCAAAGUCUGUCCUUUCUUAUGUCUUUUCUAUCUACAACAAAUACCCUGUGAUAAAAAGGAUGAUAGGAAAUAUAAGUAGUUUGAGUCCACCAAAUAUUUGGCUUGAAGUAUUUGGGUAUGAAAUACAAACUCACUUGACCUGGGCUCAAAUUUGCCAGCACUUCUUUUCUUUCUUCUCUUUUCAGAAACAGACUUUAUUUAUAUCAAUGUUAACAUCAAUCACAUAACCAUCAGGAAGGCUGUAACUUUGAUUUUUUUUUGUCCAAUAGUUGGGCCAAGUUUACAUUUC